GCUCCAAUAGCGUAUAUUAAAAUUGUUGCGGUUAAAAAGCUCGUAGUCUAAGUUCAAUCGGUUAUAUUUUUGUUGCAAUUGUAACUUGUAAUAUACCGUGAUCCUUUUUGGAUCUUCAUUACUUUGAAGAAAUCAGAGUGUUUCAAGCAAGCUUGCUUUGAAUACUAAAGCAUGGAAUAAUGAUAUAAGACAUUAGUAUU
rnacentral:rRNA from 1 species